rnacentral:rRNA from 1 species
GGAUGCGAUCAUACCAGCACUAAAGCACCGAAUCCCAUCAGAACUCCGUAGUUAAGCGUGCUUGGGCGAGAGUAGUACUAGGAUGGGUGACCUCCUGGGAAGUCCUCGUGUUGCAUUCC